rnacentral:misc_RNA from 1 species
AGUGAAAUGGAAUCGCUUGAUUUAAAGACCCAGAACGCGUUCCCACGCGAUUUGAGACGCAAAUGUCUCGCAUUUUGAAACACGAGAUCUGGGUUGCGGAACCCAAGGGGGUUAAGGGAAUCUAUCUGGGUUGCGGAACCCAAGGGGGUUAAGGGAAUCUGACAACUAUGAUAUGAACAAAAGAUUUCCUAACAAUUUAUGGAGAUUUACUUCGAGGGAAGCAUUUGAAAAUUAAACAUUACAUCAAUAUGAAGCACAUUCUGUUUUAAUCAAAACUUUUCCAUACCAUAAGAUGCCAAUAGGGAUAAAAAUUUGGUUCAACCAAACUGACACUUCAACUAAACAAAAUUUUGAACCCCUCUAAAACUGAAAUAUAUAUAUAAGAGAAAAUUGAACAUAAUCAAAAUAUUUGGGCAGAAUUUGGACACAGAUUAUGCAGUUUCGGUCCCCGCUUGUCAGUGACCCCAAUCUUCUCAAUUUUAUUACUCAAACUCAUCGAUGGCAUACAAAAUCAACCUCGCAGGGGCCACUGCCUCCAUUAUCACAGGGGAAGUCUUUGCCAAGGCAUUCCCCAUUUGCUCCUAGAUUUUGGCUGCAGCAGUAGACUCACGUUCAAGAAUGGAGAUUCCCUCUCAAAUAGGGAUUGGAGAGCUUGCUAGGAAUUUGGGGUUACAAGGAUCGGAAUUACUUUACUCUUGAAACUCAAAGAAGGUAGAUCCCAGAUCAAAUCCAAAGUCAUUUAUUAACCGAAGAAAUAAAUGAUGUCACGCCAAUCACAGUAAAACCUAGAUGGCUUCUUGAAGAAAAAGUAGCCAUCAGUAUCAGAAUUGGAAUCAUUGAAGUUGAAUAUGGCUAGGAACCGGCAACCAUUUGAGCAAUCAAAAAUCUUCCCAUGUUCCCUCACAAUAAAAACGAAGAAUGUGAGCGCUAAUCACCGCUUGAAAAGCGUGUUUUAGUCCCCAUAGACCCUUCUAUCUUCUACAGAUGAUGGUAGUGGGUCUUGACCAAUUCAUUAUAUUAUAUUACUAGUGCUUAUCUCUCUCAUAGAACUUUCAUCAAACAAGUGGUGUUGAUAAAGCAAACACCCAGUAAGCUGAUGAUUUGCCCAUCAAAUGGUACCCAAGUGAUGUUGACCAGUAGACGCAAAUUGAGAGAGAGAAAUUUUCAGGUGUGGAUUUUCUCAUGUUUAAUUAAAUGGCAAGUCUACUGAAAACCGGUAUUGCUUGGGUAUUUGAACAUGUUGGAAUUGAAAGGGAUAAAGAAAGAGAGAAGAGAUUUGGGGAAGAGAAAGAAACAGAGGGAGGGAGAGGACAUAUGGAAGGAAAGAAGGGUAAAGAUAAAAACCAUGGUUAUAAAAAUAAACAAACAAACAAAUAAAUAAUACAUAUCAUAAGGGAUUCGCUUAAAAUGAUAACAAUUUCGUAAUCAUGGCUCGACCGUCAGUUAUAAUUCACCAAAAAUGCCAAUCAAAUACACUGAAAUAAUCAGGCAAAACGAAGCUGAAAAAAGGAGGAAACUGAAGGGUGAAAAAGAUAAAGGGACUUACUUGAGAUUUGCUCAACCUGCUCAGGGGUCAGCUUGGCUGAGAAACCACUCGCAGCCGUCUUGUAACUGUAAACCAAAGCCUCCCUUGCAGCUUCUUCACUGCCGAGGACGGAGGCUAGGGUUCGGAGAUGGUAGGCCUCAGGCUCCUCAUCCUGUGGCCUCUCAGUGUACACAAUAUGAACCGCCGCUUUAGACGAGUCUACAGCAGGAGAAGGUGAAGGGACAGAUUGGGCCAUUUUGAUAAGAAGAAUCGCGAGUAAAAGGAAAAGCACCGGCGACGAUGAAGAAGAAGAGUUUCUCGUCGUCUGCAUAUCGAAUGGAAUGGUCACGUAUUUAUAAAGGUUAAGGUUGUUUUAGGAAAGUGAACAGAGAUAGAGAUUAGAGACUUUUCUUCGCAAGCAUUUGUAGGAACUUAACGACAAAGUAAUUUAUUCUUACGAGGAGACAGCGUUUCUGUUUUUGGAAACUCCGCGUUUUGAGCCUCAAGGUUUGCUUGGCGUGCUCUGCGCUUCCU